AGAGUUCGAUUAUGGCUCAGGAUGAACGCUAGCUACAGGCUUAACACAUGCAAGUCGAGGGGCAGCAUUUUUCUAGCAAUAGAAGAGAUGGCGACCGGCGCACGGGUGAGUAACACGUAUCCAACCUACCGAUAACUCCGGAAUAGCCUUUCGAAAGAAAGAUUAAUACCGGAUAGUAUACGAAUAUCGCAUGAUAUUUUUAUUAAAGAAUUUCGGCUAUCGAUGGGGAUGCGUUCCAUUAGUUUGUUGGCGGGGUAACGGCCCACCAAGACUACGAUGGAUAGGGGUUCUGAGAGGAAGGUCCCCCACAUUGGAACUGAGACACGGUCCAA
rnacentral:rRNA from 1 species